AACAUAGAGUACACAUUUUCUGUUUUGUUUAAGAAUUAUUCUCUUGCAGACCUAUGUUUUUUGUUUUUGUUUUUCUAUCCUUGGCAGAGUUUUUUAACAUGGAUUUUUUACUUCACUUUUAAUAUUUUAUUUACAUUUUAUAUUUGAGUAAAUUCAUUAACUAUAUCUAAGUCAAAAUGCUUAAUGGUAUAUAGGAUUCCACUAUAUGUGAUAUACUUUUAAAAUCAAUUUCCUAUGGUUGAAUAGUUUAUUUCCAAUGUUUCAAUAUUAACAACUCUUCAAGGAACAUCCUAGGAAAAAAUAUCUUCAUAUACUUGUCUGAUUAUUUCUUUAAGAUUCAUAAAAGUGGGCCCAGGGUAUGUUCACGGGGCGAUGCUGCCCUCCCAGCUGGCCCAUGGGUGACCCUGGGAACAUUAACUGCCUCACAACGUUUGUGCCUCAGUUACCCGUAGAUGUAGUGAGGGUAACAAUACUUACUCUCGUUGGUGAUAAGGAACAGCUAACACAACACACAGGGUUUUUCUGCUCCCAAAAUGGGAUUCUUCAGUGCACCAAAUCGAAGAAAGCACUGGAGCUCACGCUGGUUUCUCCAUUGUUUCUCCUUAACAGUGGAAACUGUAACUUUUGUUCUAGUAGCAUCUAGCAUGCUCAAUAAUUAUUUGUAAAUAAAAGUUAUACUUUCCCUCCAAAAAAAAAAAAAA
rnacentral:snoRNA from 1 species